GGUAAGGCCCUUCGGGGUACACGAGCGGCGAACGGGUGAGUAACACGUGAGCAACCUGCCCCUGACUCCGGGAUAAGCGGUGGAAACGCCGUCUAAUACCGGAUACGACCCUUGGCCUCCUGGCCGGGGGUGGAAAGUUGUUUCGGUUGGGGAUGGGCUCGCGGCCUAUCAGCUUGUUGGUGGGGUAACGGCCUACCAAGGCGAUUACGGGUAGCCGGCCUGAGAGGGCGACCGGCCACACUGGGACUGAGACACGGCCCAGACUCCUACGGGAGGCAGCAGUGGGGAAUAUUGCACAAUGGGCGAAAGCCUGAUGCAGCGACGCCGCGUGGGGGAUGACGGCCUUCGGGUUGUAAACCUCUUUUACCACUAACGCAGGCCCGGAGUUCUCUUCGGGUUGACGGUAGGUGGGGAAUAAGGACCGGCUAACUACGUGCCAGCAGCCGCGGUAAUACGUAGGGUCCGAGCGUUGUCCGGAAUUAUUGGGCGUAAAGAGCUCGUAGGCGGCGUGUCGCGUCUGCUGUGAAAGACCGGGGCUUAACUCCGGUUUGGCAGUGGAUACGGGCACGCUAGAGGUAGGUAGGGGAGACUGGAAUUCCUGGUGUAGCGGUGAAAUGCGCAGAUAUCAGGAGGAACACCGGUGGCGAAGGCGGGUCUCUGGGCCUUACCUGACGCUGAGGAGCGAAAGCAUGGGGAGCGAACAGGAUUAGAUACCCUGGU
rnacentral:rRNA from 1 species